rnacentral:rRNA from 1 species
UUUAAUGAGAGUUUGAUCCUGGCUCAGGACGAUCGCUGGCGGCGUGCCUAAUACAUGCAAGUAGAACGCUGAGGUUUGGUGUUUACACUAGACUGAUGAGUUGCGAACGGGUGAGUAACGCGUAGGUAACCUGCCUCAUAGCGGGGGAUAACUAUUGGAAACGAUAGCUAAUACCGCAUAAGAGUAAUUAACACAUGUUAGUUAUUUAAAAGGAGCAAUUGCUUCACUGUGAGAUGGACCUGCGUUGUAUUAGCUAGUUGGUGAGGUAAAGGCUCACCAAGGCGACGAUACAU